rnacentral:rRNA from 1 species
AGCAGCCGCGGUAAUUCCAGCUCCAAUAGCGUAUAUUAAAGUUGUUGCAGUUAAAAAGCUCGUAGUUGAAUUUCGGGGUUAGUAGGUUGGUCAUGCCUCUGGUAUGUACUGGUCUCACUGAUUCCUCCUUCCUGAUGAACCUUAAUGCCAUUUAUUUGGUGUUUUGGGGAAUUUGGACUGUUACUUUGGAAAAAUUAGAGUGUUUAAAGCAAGCUAACGCUUGAAUACAUUAGCAUGGAAUAAUGAAAUAGGACGUUCGAUCCUAUUUUGUUGGUUUCUAGGAUUGACGUAAUGAUUAAUAGGGAUAGUUGGGGGCAUUAGUAUUCAAUUGUCAGAGGUGAAAUUCUUGGAUUUAUUGAAGACUAACUACUGCGAAAGCAUUUGCCAAGGAUGUUUUCAUUAAUCAAGAACGAAAGUUAGGGGAUCGAAGACGAUCAGAUACCGUCGUAGUCUUAACCAUAAACUAUGCCGACUAGGGAUCGGAU